AACCUAGCACACCUGCGGUGUGUACCUGCGGAGGGAUCAUUACCGAGUGUGGUCCCAUAUAAGGGGCGCCUCCCGUCCUUUGCAGGGCCUUUAGGGGCUUUUUGACUUUGCUUCGGCGGGCUUGCCCCGCCGGAACACCCUCAAGAAAAUCUUUAUGAACCGUUUGUCUGAGUUGCUUGCGAAUAAAAACAAAACUUUCAGCAAUGGAUCU
rnacentral:misc_RNA from 1 species